rnacentral:rRNA from 1 species
AUUGAACGCUGGCGGCAUGCCUUACACAUGCAAGUCGAACGGUAACGGGCCUUCGGGUGCCGACGAGUGGCGAACGGGUGAGUAAUGCAUCGGAACGUACCUUUCAGUGGGGAUAACGUAGCGAAAGUUACGCUAAUACCGCAUAUUCUGUGAGCAGGAAAGCAGGGGAUCGCAAGACCUUGCGCUGAUUGAGCGGCCGAUGUCAGAUUAGCUAGUUGGUGAGGUAAAGGCUCACCAAGGCGACGAUCUGUAGCGGGUCUGAGAGGAUGAUCCGCCACACUGGAACUGAGACACGGUCCAGACUCCUACGGGAGGCAGCAGUGGGGAAUUUUGGACAAUGGGGGCAACCCUGAUCCAGCCAUGCCGCGUGAGUGAAGAAGGCCUUCGGGUUGUAAAGCUCUUUCGGCCGGGAAGAAAUCGUAUGGGCUAAUACCCUGUGCGGAUGACGGUACCGGCAUAAGAAGCACCGGCUAACUACGUG